rnacentral:lncRNA from 1 species
AUGGCCAGGAUGGAGAUGCUGCCUCUUCUAGCGGUAGCAGCAGUCAGAGAGGGGCUCCCCCCAGGCCAGCCCAACAGUCUCCCCUCCCGCAGCCCCCACCUGGAGCUCCCCCCAGAGAUGGAAGCGGAGGACUCACUGGAGCUGCAGCAGUGGAGCCUGGCUAGAUUUGCCGUGGUGGCCGUGGAGCACGUGCUCCCUCUCAUCAGGACAGGUGAGAGUCCUCUUAAAUCCUCUUUCCUGUUUCAAACGCAGCUACAGCUGCUGCCGUUCCCCUCACGCGUGUGCUUCCAUUGCUCAUCAUAUUCCCCUUCUUUUUUUUUUCUCAUCCCUGCCCUCUCAGAGAGCCUGAAGUUUUUCCAACGGGUGCUAGAGCUGCUGGCAGAGUCACAAGGGGCUGCUGGGAAACAGCAUAGCCCCCGAGGUGUGGGGCGGGCACAGCCUGACUGCGACGGAGCUGGCAAGUGUCUUCAACAACCGUCCUCCACAGUGCAGACCUCUUUCCUGUUUCAAACGCAGCUACAGCUGCUGCCGUUCCCCUCACGCGUGUGCUUCCAUUGCUCAUCAUAUUCCCCCUCUUUUUUUUUUUUCUCAUCCCUCGCCCUCCUCAGAGAGCCUGAAGUUUUUCCUAACGGGUGCUAGAGCUGCUGGCAGAGUCACAGGGGCUGCUGGGAAACAGCAUAGCCCCCGAGGUGUGGGGCGGGCACAGCCUGACUGCGACGGAGCUGGCAAGUGUCUUCAACAACCGUCCUCCACAGUGCAGAUCCAUAGCCAUGAGGCUGAUGUCUGCAUUAGUGCAUACAAACACACACCUGUCGCUGCUCCAUCUCACCCACUCCACUUACUCUGAGGCACAGAUGGUCAUUGUAGAACAUUAAGCUAUCAGCACAAAUCAGUCAUGGCACGACCGUUGUUUUUUUUAGGGCAGUUUCACCACUUAGAAGUCCCUGUUUGCUCCUGACAACUCAAUACAUCUGCUAUUUCCAUCUAAAACAUUUGUAUUGGUUUAAUAAAAUACAGUAAGACUUUAUAAUAAGCUGUAUCUCAUUUCAAUAUGGCAAUAUGGUCUCGUUUCGAUAGCAUUAGUUAAUGAAAUAGCUAACAUGAAAUAACAAUGAACAUACCUUUAGAGAAUUU